AGUGAACGCUGGCGGUAGGCCUAACACAUGCAAGUCGAACGGCAGCACAGUAAGAGCUUGCUCUUACGGGUGGCGAGUGGCGGACGGGUGAGGAAUACAUCGGAAUCUACUUUUUCGUGGGGGAUAACGUAGGGAAACUUACGCUAAUAACGCAUACGACCUACGGGUGAAAGCAGGGGAUCUUCGGACCUUGCGCGAUUGAAUGAGCCGAUGUCGGAUUAGCUAGUUGGCGGGGUAAAGGCCCACCAAGGCGACGAUCCGUAGCUGGUCUGAGAGGAUGAUCAGCCACACUGGAACUGAGACACGGUCCAGACUCCUACGGGAGGCAGCAGUGGGGAAUAUUGGACAAUGGGCGCAAGCCUGAUCCAGCCAUACCGCGUGGGUGAAGAAGGCCUUCGGGUUGUAAAGCCCUUUUGUUGGGAAAGAAAAGCAGCAGGUUAAUACCCCGCUGUUCUGACGGUACCCAAAGAAUAAGCACCGGCUAACUUCGU
rnacentral:rRNA from 1 species